AGUGAACGUUGGCGGUAGGCCUAACACAUGCAAGUCGAACGGCAGCACAGUAAGAGCUUGCUCUUACGGGUGGCGAGUGGCGGACGGGUGAGGAAUACAUCGGAAUCUACUUUUUCGUGGGGGAUAACGUAGGGAAACUUACGCUAAUACCGCAUACGACCUACGGGUGAAAGCAGGGGAUCUUCGGACCUUGCGCGAUUGAAUGAGCCGAUGUCGGAUUAGCUAGUUGGCGGGCUAAAGGCCCACCAAGGCGACGAUCCGUAGCUGGUCUGAGAGGAUGAUCAGCCACACUGGAACUGAGACACGGUCCAGACUCCUACGGGAGGCAGCAGUGGGGAAUAUUGGACAAUGGGCGCAAGCCUGAUCCAGCCAUACCGCGUGGGUGAAGAAGGCCUUCGGGUUGUAAAGCCCUUUUGUUGGGAAAGAAAAGCAGCAGGUUAAUACCCCGCUGUUCUGACGGUACCCAAAGAAUAAGCACCGGCUAACUUCGUG
rnacentral:rRNA from 1 species